GAAUAUCUCCUUUUAUAAUAUCUGAAUUAAAAUUGGUUUCGUACGUAAACAAAGUCAGAUGUAGUUGGUGCUUUUUUUAUCUUUGUUUACAUGUCAAUUGGUUCACAUUAUCAAUAACUUGUUGCUUUGACAUUUCUUUGUUGCUCUGCGUAUUUUUUUAUAUCAAAUCAAAUUCAGGUGCCUCAAUCAAGGAAUUUGCGCAUUAUUUCAUUUAAAAAUAUAAGUCGUCGAAGUAAAAAAAAAUGACACUGCAUCCACAGUGGGAGCUGCUGUUGCGAUUGGUGCUAGAGAUGGUGCGGCAUAUGGCUGUUACAAAUUAUAUGAAUCAUUUUUUGCUAAUCCGCAUCAAAAUCAACCGAUAUUGGCAAAUGCAAAUCAAGGGGAAGAAAAACCACAAUCGAUUCCAUUUCGAAUCAUUUCUCCGCGUUCAUUUCCAAGAAAUUCUCAAAUCUAUGUGGUCAACAAUAUUGAAGAAUGCCGAUAUGCAAUUAGAGAGCUCAAAUCGCAUUGUGAAGAAUAUAAAGUGCUUGGUUUUGAUUGCGAAUGGGUGACAAUGCAAGGAUUUGGUCAUCAAAAAGUCGCAUUAAAAUCGGUUCAACGAACAUUUGAUACGCUUCAAAUCAAUCAAACAAUUUAUGUGUAUAUGUCGACAUAUGAUUGCUUCUAAAUUCAAAUGUGUUUCGGCACCCAAAAAAUCUAUUUCUUUUAAUUUGCGACAGCAGUUUCACAAUACACCGUUUUUGCCAACGAUCGUACCAUCUAAAUGUUGAUAAGCGGCAUUUGCUUCCUCAUCAGACACAAAACACACGAAACCGAAGUUCCGUGUGUUCGACUUCCGGGCUUUGACCACUCUCAAACGUAUACCAUUCACUACGAUCCAUUCAACAAAGCGCCCGAAAUCGCCGUCAGUCCAACGGACUGGCAGAUUUUCUAUGAAAAGUGUGGAAUUUUCACGACCAGUUGGUACGGUGAAGAAUCGUGGCGGCAACUUCUGUUCAUUUUCACCGGAAUUACCAUCUUUGGCCUUCCAUCUUUGGCCUUCCAUCUUUGGCCUUCCAUUUUGCCGUACUGUACCUAAAGCAAUAAAUGAUUAAAUUUUAGAUAAAAUUUAAACUUUAAUUCGGAAUUUAAUUUCGCAACAAACACAAUGUUGUUCGUCUAUUCCAUGUGUGUGCCAUCAUAACAAUUGGCUAUAUGCGCCGCGUAACGUAGAUCCAGUGUACUUCGAAUAUGAUUGUACUGAUUGUCCGAAGGAUCUUGGCAAAAAUAGUGGUUGAACAAAAACCGGGCAUCAGUGCCAUUUGGCGAAAUACCGACUUUCAACAUGUUUCGAUCCAUCAAGAUUUCCUACCGUUCCGGAGGAAUGUGUUUUAAUUCGGACAAUCGGACAAGGACGCAGAGACCACAAUGAGACGCCAAUUGCAAUAAUGCGACUUAUUACGGACAAUGCCGUACCAGAUGAUUACGAGACUGCACUUUGAAUAAUCAGAGUUAAAAAAGUGUGUGUUUUUUUUAACAUAACGAAAGAGCGAAAAAUGAACAAACGAAUAAAAAACGAAUCACUACGCCAAAAAGUCGCAUUAAAAUCGGAUCCUGGAAUGAUGAAAUUUUUAGUGAAGCACAAAUUUUGUAUGCGGCAAAAGAUGCAUUGGUUGCCAUUGAAUUGUUCAAAUUUUUUGGCGAAAAAAUCA